GACGUAGGGCGCGAGCGUUGUCCGGAUUUAUUGGGCGUAAAGAGCUCGUAGGCGGCUUGUCGCGUCGAAUGUGAAAACCCACGGCUCAACUCCGGGCUUGCAUUCGAUACGGGCAGGCUAGAGUUCGGUAGGGGAGUCUGGAAUUCCUGGUGUAGCGGUGAAAUGCGCAGAUAUCAGGAGGAACACCGGUGGCGAAGGCGGGACUCUGGGCCGAUACUGACGCUGAGGAGCGAAAGCGUGGGGAGCGAACAGG
rnacentral:rRNA from 1 species